GACGGAGGAUGCAAGCGUUAUCCGGAAUGAUUGGGCGUAAAGCGUCCGUAGAUGGUCGUUUCAAGUCUGCUGUCAAAGACCGGGGCUUAACCCCAGAAAGGCGGUGGAAACUGAACAGCUAGAGAGAGGUAGGGGUAGAGGGAAUUCCCAGUGUAGCGGUGAAAUGCGUAGAUAUUGGGAGGAACACCAGUGGCGAAGGCGGCUCACUGGACCGGAACUGACGCUGAGGCGCGAAAGCGUGGGGAGCAAACAGG
rnacentral:rRNA from 1 species